GCCUUCGUAGCUCAGUUGGUAGAGCAUCAGACACGACAUCUGAAGGUCGUGGGUUCGGUUCCCACCGAAGGCA
rnacentral:tRNA from 1 species